rnacentral:rRNA from 1 species
UACGGGGGGGGCAAGCGUUGUUCGGAAUUACUGGGCGUAAAGGGCGCGUAGGCGGCCUGUUAAGUCGAACGUGAAAUCCCCGGGCUCAACCCGGGAACUGCGUCCGAAACUGGCAGGCUCGAAUCCGGGAGAGGGAUGCGGAAUUCCAGGUGUAGCGGUGAAAUGCGUAGAUAUCUGGAGGAACAUCGGUGGCGAAGGCGGCAUCCUGGACCGGUAUUGACGCUGAGGCGCGAAAGCCAGGGGAGCAAACGGG